GUUCCUUAUUUGUGAUGACCGUUUUGCAAGUAUUUACUUGUGCCUUCCCGACCGCUGGUCAGUUUUCGCUUGUGUUGACUGUUGGUCAGCUACUGCUUGUGUCGACUCUUCUCGUGAUGUGCUUGAUUUAUGCAAAGCUGUCCCUGUCAAAUUGCAAGAUUGGCCCGGAAGACUCGUGUCGUAUCCACAGAAGUAUCGUGAUGGAAUACCUAUAUUAAGAGAAGGGGGAAGAGGGAAGCACAGUGAUGGAAUAGUUAAGUCAUUCGGCUGAAUAAAUAACUUCAUUUUAAAGACAACCUCUUGGCCAAGAUUUACCAGUGAAAUCAUUAGCUGGCUAACUUAAAAAGGAAGGAAUUGGAUAUGUUAUUGCAGAACUCUUAAAAGAACGACACAACUGUAUUCUUGCAAAUAAAGCGUAGUGGCUAUAUGCCGACAGUCGGGACAGGUCUUGGAUGGACUAAAUGCCCGACAGUUUUCAAUUUAUUCAAAUAAUUCUGUAAUUCUGUAAUUUUUCUACGCACAAAUUGCAUCCCUAUUUAUGAGUUCAAAGUAUUCUAUAUUUGUCGAGAAAGGGUAAGCUAAUCGGAAUUCAGCUUUGUUGUCGGUAUUGAAUAUUUUCCCUUGCUUGUAUACACUAUUAACACCCUUUCCGUUAUUGUAGCAGAAAAAAUUCAAGUGUCGCUAAAAUAGCGAUUUCAUGGUAUAUACAAGCAAGGAAAAACGUUCAAUUCCGACUACAAAGCUCAAAUUAGAUUCGCUUGCCCUUUCUCCACAAAUAUACAAUAAUUUGAACUCUCAAGGUCGACAAUUUACUGUGAUAUUUUCGUAAAUUAAGAGCUGUAGACAUUAGCACCAUAA